CGACUGAAAGGGUUAGCUUGCUAGCUUGUUUUUCGCGAUGCUAGCAGCAUUGGAGUAAAGUCAAGAGUGCGCAGAGAGAAAUUAGGACUUAUUUUUUUUCCAUGAAAGUCAACAGAAUAUACCUGGACAUCAAAUUGGUUCGAUACAGGAAGAAGAGCAAGAUGGACCUGCUGAGAAUCUCAUCAGGAACUUGUUACAUCACCACAACCAUGCAGAGAGGAAGUGAUCAGAGAAGAAAAAGCAGGGUUCAUCAGAAACUGGUAUUGGUACUGGCAGACUAAUUUCCACCAUGAUGAUUCAAUAUCUUCAGUCCACCUGUAACACAUGGCUCAGGUGAGCGUGCAUGAGGAGGGAGCAUCAGCAGUGAUUCAAACAGAUUACACAGGAUCAGCUUAAUUUCUUAACUAGCUGCGACACUAGCAAUUUUAAAGUGUCAGGAGCAAUAGAAGGGCACUUCCCACUUCAACUGCACCACCUUAUGCUGCCCUGCAUCUAUGCAGUCUGUUAAUCUUGGGAGACAUUUUUCAC